rnacentral:rRNA from 1 species
ACCUACGGGAGGCAGCAGUGAGGAAUAUUGGUCAAUGGGCUAAGGCCUGAACCAGCCAAGUCGCGUGAGGGAAGACGGUCCUAUGGAUUGUAAACCUCUUUUGUCGGGGAGCAACGAGGCCACGUGUGGCCGAAGUGAGAGUACCUGAAGAAAAAGCAUCGGCUAACUCCGUGCCAGCAGCCGCGGUAAUACGGAGGAUGCGAGCGUUAUCCGGAUUUAUUGGGUUUAAAGGGUGCGUAGGCGGAAUGCCAAGUCAGCGGUAAAAUCGCGGGGCUCAACCUCGCUCCGCCGUUGAAACUGGCGUU